AGGCUGAGUGGACUAGUUCUACUGGGACCGGACAGGCUGAGUGGACUAGUUCUACUGGGACCAGAGAAGCUGAGUGGACUGGUUAUAUUAUACUUUGAGAAUGAAGAAGAUGAACCUGGAGCCGAUUGAGGAGGACUUUGCGGUGCCUCGCAGAAUGACGUUCAGACAGCAGCUUUACUCACUGGUUUGCUGGGGUAUACAUCUGAGAUGUGCGCUUUGAGCUUCUCCACAGUCCAGGUCUGGGAGCAGUUGAUGGUCUGGUCAUCGUACUUCUGGUUGGGCGCCCUGAUGACAAGGGUAACAGGACCGUCCACAACACCCUGA